AUUGAACGCUGGCGGCAUGCCUUACACAUGCAAGUCGAACGGUAACAGGUCUUCGGAUGCUGACGAGUGGCGAACGGGUGAGUAAUACAUCGGAACGUGCCUAGUAGUGGGGGAUAACUACUCGAAAGAGUGGCUAAUCCCGACUGAGAUCUACGGGUGCAAGCAGGGGAUCGCAAGACCUUGAGCUACUAGAGCGGCCGAUGGCAGAUUAGGUAGUUGGUGGGAUAGAAGCUUACCAAGCCGACGAUCUGUAGCUGGUCUGAGAGGACGAUCAGCCACACUGGGACUGAGACACGGCCCAGAAUCCUACGGGAGGCAGCAGUGGGGAAUUUUGGACAAUGGGCGAAAGCCUGAUCCAGCAAUGCCGCGUGCAGGAUGAAGGCCUUCGGGUUGUAAACUGCUUUUGUACGGAACGAAAAGCCCUGGGUUAAUACCCUGGGGUCAUGACGGUACCGUAAGAAUAAGCACCGGCUAACUACGUGCCAGCAGCCGCCGUAACAC
rnacentral:rRNA from 1 species